GGAGCAGUGGCAGAGCGGCUUAAUGCGAUGGUCUUGAAAACCAUUGUACCGAAAGGUACCGGGGGUUCGAAUCCCUCCUGCUCCG
rnacentral:tRNA from 1 species